CCACUCACUCACCCCUCCCCCGGCGGGAUGGGGAGGAGAACAGAAAAAAAACAACGGCAAAGCCUCGAGGGUUGGGAUAAGGGCAGUUUACUGGGACAGCAAGGGAGAGGGAAACAAUCAACAACAGUACUGAUAACAGAUAUUCACAAUGGGUGAUAACAGAGAACAAUUUACCGAUCCGACGACCGACCGACCGACCGGACGCUCAGCCUGUCCCGGAGCCACACGGAACCCGCCCCUGCCCGACCAGCCCCCUUUUAUGAUAGUUCACAUGGCUUCAGUUAGGACCUGAUCCAAGGGCUGGUGGUCACAGCUGGAGUCUUUACGCUGUCUUUGAUGGAUUUUGGAGCAGCCUGAGUAGAUUUUGGUACAUCUUCAAUCAUGUUGGAGGGUGCUGUCUCUAUCCUUUGACUACAUGAGGGACAAAGAGCCUGGCCUCUGGGCUUGGAUUGGCCAGAAAAUGUGUGCUUGCCUGCAGAAGGGCUUCUGUGUUUGUAAGUAUUCCUUUCUUCCUUAUAUUAAUUUAUUUCCUAACAAAUACUAGCUGUCCUUAAAAAUCUUGCCUGUGCUUUUCUGGACACUUUCAAAUUUCCUUUAGAAAGGAAAAUGCCUGAAAAAAUGAAGUUUGGUGUUUUCAGCCAAAAAUAAGGUAUUUUGUCUCAAAAAAAAAAUGCAAUAGGAACUUUAACCAGUUAUCAUAACUCACUCUUCACUUUUAAGAUACAACGUUUUCAGUCACUCAUCAUCACAUAUUGCUAUAUGGGCAUCAUGGGAUCUGUAGUCUUAUCCCAGCAUCUCAUCUGUGGAGUUGAGCGUGGGCAAGAAGAACUGUCACUGCAGCUCCCAUUAGGUAAGUCAAUGACAUAUACAUAAAACAGAAAAAGAUAAACAUUUUCAACGUAAAAAAAUAGUUCAGAUUAAAUAUUUACAUUUUUAGUGUCAAAAAGCUCCCAAGUUUUCAGAUCGGCUGUAAUUGCAGCUCUGUGAUGGCACUAUUAAGGCUCCUGUCAUAACUGCAGACAGUCUGUUCCCCCUGCAGGAAGCUGCUUCAGUAUUUAUUACAACACUGAGGUCAUCGCUAGUGUUAACUAAUAGCUGUCCCUAAGGACGGGUAAAUUGUGAUCCAGAAUCCUUAUCUUAUUCAUUUUCUGUUUCUUGCCCACCUCCUUUUUCUAACUUGGACUCUGAACUGAGACAAACUGUUUAGGAAGAAAUUGCGUCUGAAGCUACAAGGCUCCUCUGGGCUUCCCCCUUCCUGCUGAGCAUCUCAUCCUGUGGCGAUACCCAUCCGUAGCAUUUCACAGUCCAGUGCUUCUGAAGCCCACAGAGAAGGAGGGAAUCAAAAAUGGCACAAAAUUACCAGUUUCCUGGCUGGAUUCAAAAAUGUGCACCCUCCAGCAGGUCUCUGGGAUGUUGCUUAUCUGCAGGUCUCCCUUGUUUGAGCUGAAGAUCCUUUUUGUCUUUGGUGAUUUCUUCUUUUUGUAGAAGAAAGGAAGCGCUGAGCCUUCAGGAAGCUAACCAUUUUCUCUGACUUUUGCUGAUAUUACAAGGCCCCUCCAUAGCUGCAGGCUGCUCCUACCUCUCCCCAGAAGUUUGAGUCCAACAGUGCAAGAUUGUCACAAAACCAGACUCUUACAGGAGGUUUCCUCUUCUUAGAAGGCACAAGGUUGCUUUCCAGUUGACACAGUCCUGAUGCAUUUGGGAAAUAGAUGCCAGCUCUUUCGACCUCUUCUCCUAAUGCUUUCUGAAAGAGUUGGGUAGCUUUAGUUUUACACCAGAUAUCAAAGAGCAGCUCAAAAUCUGGAAAGGUCUCAAGUGCUCACUUGUAAAGAUCCCCAGAGAGCUUGACAGUGGAAUCCUUUCUGUUCCUUCACAGAUUUUAUUUUAAGGUUUAUAGUGAGCUUUUUGCUCUUUUCUGGACCUGAAUUGUCUCUGGUCUGUCAGCCACAUGGUGCAGAUGUCUGCAUCCCCUUCCCUGCCAGCAUUCUUCCAGUCAUUAUUCCCAAAACCUGAUCUCCUUGUCUGAGCCUCCAUGUGUUAAGGAUCCCUUUGGGACAACAUGAUUAUUUCCCUCUGCCUGCUGUGUAUCCCCUGACAGCUUGUCUGGUAAAACCCAAGCUUUGACCACAGGCAAAUAUCAGUCUUAGAACUGGUUCAUCUUGAGGAGAGAAUUACCAUUACAUUGAGUUACAGUUCUUUCACCAAACCAAUCUUGUCACCAACCUCCAAAAAAAAAAAAAGCACCAAACAGAGAAAGAGAUGGUAACUUAUGAACUUCUUCACAUCAUAGAAAGUGCAAUCAUUUACCUUCUGUUCAAAAUACUUUUAAUUCAGAAUGAGAAAACAAACAAUGAGAAGAAAUAAAAUUAUAGUGCAUGUAGGCCAGUAAGGUGUGUGUACACACUAAGUUAGGGUCCCCUGGCUUCCCAUCAGAUGAGUCAGCUACAGACCCAGCCAUGAAAUGUUGUAUCCUCCAUUGCCUGUAAAGAGAAGCCUGAGGAAACACAGGACAAGGGCUUACACAAUAAUGGUUGGCCUGGGUUAGUCACCAAAUCUUCUACUCCUAGAAUGGAAGAGACUUAGACAAAACCAGCUAGUGGCAGACUUGAAACACCAAGAGAUACUUCUUCAUCCAGCCUAGAGUUAAGCCAUGGAAUUCCUCGUCACAGGAUGUCUGGAUGUAAAUAAUGUACUUACUAGAAGGGUAAAUUGAGGGGAAAAAAAUCAUCUAGAGCUGUUAAACACAACAAUAUUAAAUUGCUGGAAGUCUGGGAAUAUGUGCUUAAAAUCUGACUCGUUCACCCUUUCCUAGGCACCUGUUAUGCAGGUAUCAGAGGGUGGCAGGGUAGCUGAACCUUCGGUCAGCUACUAUGUUGAAGGACCACACAGUCUUUGUAUGUGUAGAUCAUGUUGCGUUACAGCCUAUAUCGCUCUUUCAGAGGACCUUGCUUCUAUCCCAAGCUUACUGUUUUUUCUCCUUUCUAAUGUGCAGCCACAGCUUGAGAGAGAGACAAGUUGCAGUUUGUGUGCUGGGGAGAUUCUUCAGGUUACGUGAUGCCCAAACAUGUUUUCCUACUGAAGGCAGGAGGAUCAUCUGUCCCAAGGCUUGGGCCUCUGCUAUUCCAGCAGGAAGCUAUCCUCCCUGAGCCUCAUUUUAAUCUCCUAUUGUUGUAAAUCAGGAAUAACCGCAAGAAAGACAGUAAAAUUAAGCUUGUGAAAACUGAUGUACAAGACUUAAGGCCUCUGAUCUCCACCAGCAAUGGAGAUGAACUCACUCCUUGAAUCUCUUCUCCCUCUGUAUGCAAAUGCUGCUGGUCUUUCGAGAUGCUCAGAUGUGGCUCUGAACCUUGUAUGCUGGAACACAGCGUCCAGGCUUUGUAAAGCGGCUCCUCACUGAUAUAAAGACUUACAGAGGAAAAUUCUCUUUCUGGGCGAGGCUCGAUAGAAAUAAGAAAUUCUGGUUGCGCAGAAAAGCUUUUGAACCUACUCUCAUCCCAAUCAAGCUGCUGCAACACACUUCCUAUUUGCAUCAAUUAAAAUGAUGGUUAUGGAUCAAAUUAAAAAAAGAAAUCUAAAGGAUAUUUCUGUGGUAUCGGAGCAGACUGUUUCUAAAAACUUGUGUGACCGCAGGAGCUCAAGGAAGCAACGUUUUGUUUUUUGUUCUGCCUACUCACAAGAUAUGGUCAGGAAAAAUGUUUUUUAUGUUUUCUUCUCUUUCCAAAUGGCUAAAAUCUGAGCUUAGUUUCUUUCCUGUUUCAGAUAAAUGGAAUGGAUUCUGAUUAAAAGCUAUGUUUAAUUGAAACUGCCAAGAUAAGAAAAUAUUUUAAGAUUUUGCUAUGUUGAAAAUAUGAAUUUAAGAAUAGAUAGAAUUUCAACAAUCUGACUUGCAAGAUGCCAUUUUUUAUUCAUUUCCCUCCAACAUUUUAUUUGUCUCAGACAGUAAGAAUUGUCUGCUCGCUUUCAUAGUUUGGGGAGAUGCUGAGAUUUCAGACCAUGCAGGAAAUACCUAAUAAUGCCAUUCCUUCUUGCCAUUCUCAUGCUUUCGCAUUAAGGUUUGGCAUGAGACCAGGUUUAAGAGUGAAACGCUGCCUGUCUAUCAAAGUUUUAUGGUUCUUCCAGUGAUGUCUGGGCACCUUUUUGUUUUUGUUAGAGCUUGAGAGAUACACAGAGAAGUGACCUUUCUGCUUUCAUAACUUGUAUAAAUAAAUGGGCUUGCAAAAUGCUUCUGGCAGCCCUGGAUGAUGGAAAGCUAAAAUUCCACUUUGUGAGAAAUUUUCACUUUUAAAACUGAGAUGUUAGUCUGACUGGAAGUGAAAAGACAGUCUUCAUGAAUUUCCCU